CCGCUGCGGGGCCUGAAAGAGCAAAAUAAAAACAUACACUGGCCAGCAGCAGAACCGCUAUCUCAAAUUAAAAUUUCAUCUCCGGCUCCAAGAAGUAUAUAAGUCUGUAAAAUAUAUAUAUUUAUGAUUUAUUGGACAUACGGAGCUGGUUGAGGGCCGUUAAUCAUAUGCCAUAUAUAUACCCGCCAUAUAUAGAGCCAUAUAGUUGAAAUAUGAAUGCCAUAAAAAGGAUGCAAGACGUAUGGGAGAGUGGAAAAAACACGGAGUGAUGUGAGAGCUUGUCUUUGAUUGCAGGGAGGGGAGGAGAGGAGGGAGGGAGGGAGGAGAGGAGAGGAGAGGAGUUGGCAGUGAAUCUCUUUGUCUCUCCUCUUAGCUUUUUUCCCCUCUCCCGCCCUCUCUCCCAAGCGGGUCGGGGCUGCCCUUGCAGCUUUUUGUUGUGCAUCUUCUGCCCUCGCCGCCGAUCGUCCCCUGUGCUGCUUCGGCUGCUCAACAGAUGGCCAGUUGGCUCAUUAACUUUAAUAAAUCUAACAUCAAUUAGACUGGAGGUAAUUGGGAUGCCGCGGAGGUGAUUGCAAGAACAGAUUGUCUCGGGUGGAUCAAGCUGCUUUCGGCUCUGCAGGUUUCGAGAGUGAACUGGAGAAACAGAAUCAUCUCUUCAUGUCGACAGGAUUGGUCUGUCUGCUGAACAAAGCACAUCUGCCGGGCUGCUGUGGUGAGAGCAAGAGAGCCGGAGAGUCUCACAAGAAAAAAAAAAGAAAAGAAAAAGCACCAUGACUGCCUCAGAGGCUUUAACAGGAACGUAAAGAGACACAGAGCAUUAUAUAGAAGUUGCAGACACAACUGCAUCAAUGUGAAAGUUUUGUGAUGAUUAUAAGAGCGACUCUGUCUCCUAGAGAUUACGUUCAUGCAUGAAUAAAUUGCAGCAGCAUGUAA